GGCUUUACCAAAUUCAAAAAAAAACACAAAAAGAA
rnacentral:sRNA from 1 species